CUUCGGUGUCGGGUCAAAGGGCACUGUGAAAAGUCGAGAGGCAAACAAACUCAAACAAGCACAGCGUUCCCACAGAACAUUCUUCGAAGUUCAGGUUUUCUCUUUGGAUUCGAUUACCGAAUAAAGUUGACUUUUGCGUUUGGUUUGACGGUACUUCGAAAAUUGCUACAUCUUUGUGAUAAUAGAAUUUAGAACUUGUUUUGUUAUUCAAUAUGAAAUUUGAAGAAGCCAUAUCGGCCAUAUAUUUACGAAAAUUUAGCAUUCACACAAUAAUUGCAGUGUACAUAAUCCUUGAAAGGCUUGAAAUGUUACAUAUUUGGAAAUGUAGCUUGUAUCCUUUUGGACGAGCAUGAGAGUAUCGCUGUAUCGCCGAUUAACAACAUUGAAUUUAAGGAUAGGAUUUAAUACACUUCGUCCAACGACCCUCUUUGUCAGACCAAAUAAUUGUAAUAUCAUCCGAACAAAUUUGAAAGUAUUCAUUCGGUUUAUAUAAAACUAUAUAUUUAUACCUUCAAGGGACUAUAUCAUAAAAAUUUCAGGAAUGCGUAUGACAAUUAGAAUUUCUAAAGUCGGAGUUUCAGCUCUGGUUUUAAUAAUAAUAUUCAGUUCCAUCCUGUUCCUG